rnacentral:rRNA from 1 species
UGAUACUAAGCCAUGUGAGUCAUUGUAGCAAUACAAGGCAUACGGCUCAGUAACGCGUAGUCAACCUAACCUAUGGACGGGAAUAACCUCGGGAAACUGAGAAUAAUGCCCGAUAGAACAUUAUGCCUGGAAUGGUUUAUGUUCCAAAUGAUUUAUCGCCGUAGGAUGGGACUGCGGCCUAUCAGUUUGUUGGUGAGGUAAUGGCCCACCAAGACUAUUACAGGUACGGGCUCUGAGAGGAGUGGCCCGGAGAUGGGUACUGAGACACGGACCCAGGCCCUAUGGGGCGCAGCAGGCGAGAAAACUUUGCAAUGUGCGAAAGCACGACAAGGUUAAUCCGAGUGGUUUCUGCUAAAGGAACCUUUUGUCAGUCCUAGAAACACUGAUGAAUAAGGGGUGGGCAAGUUCUGGUGUCAGCCGCCGCGGUAAAACCAGCACCUCAAGUGGUCAGGAUGAUUAUUGGGCCUAUAGCAUCCGUAGCCGGCUCUGUAAGUUUUCGGUUAAAUCUGUACGCUCAACGUACAGGCUGCCGGGAAUACUGCAAAGCUAGGGAGUGGGAGAGGUAGACGGUACUCGGUAGGAAGGGGUAAAAUCCUUUGAUCUAUUGAUGACCACCUGUGGCGAAGGCGGUCUACCAGAACACGUCCGACGGUGAGGGAUGAAAGCUGGGGGAGCAAACCGGAUUAGAUACCCGGGUAGUCCCAGCUGUAAACCAUGCAAACUCAGUGAUGCAUUGGCUUGUGGCCAAUGCAGUGCUGCAGGGAAGCCGUUAAGUUUGCCGCCUGGGAAGUACGUACGCAAGUAUGAAACUUAAAGGAAUUGGCGGGGGAGCACCACAAGGGGUGAAGCCUGCG